GCUAGUGCUAACGGGGUCAGGUAGUGUGGACUCUAGCUAGUGCUAACGGGGUCAGGUAGUGUGGACUCUAGCUAGUGCUAACGGGGUCAGGUAGUGUGGACUCUAGCUAGUGCUAACGGGGUCGUAGUGUGGACUCUA